rnacentral:rRNA from 1 species
AGAGUUUGAUCCUGGCUCAGGAUGAACGCUGGCGGCGUGCCUAACACAUGCAAGUCGAGCGAUUUACUUCGGUAAAGAGCGGCGGACGGGUGAGUAACGCGUGGGUAACCUGCCCUGUACACACGGAUAACAUACCGAAAGGUAUGCUAAUACGAGAUAAAAUACUUUUAUCGCAUGGUAGAAGUAUCAAAGCUUUUGCGGUACAGGAUGGACCCGCGUCUGAUUAGCUAGUUGGUAAGGUAACGGCUUACCAAGGCGACGAUCAGUAGCCGACCUGAGAGGGUGAUCGGCCACAUUGGAACUGAGACACGGUCCAAACUCCUACGGGAGGCAGCAGUGGGGAAUAUUGCACAAUGGGCGAAAGCCUGAUGCAGCAACGCCGCGUGAGCGAUGAAGGCCUUCGGGUCGUAAAGCUCUGUCCUCAAGGAAGAUAAUGACGGUACUUGAGGAGGAAGCCCCGGCUAACUACGUGCCAGCAGCCGCGGUAAUACGUAGGGGGCUAGCGUUAUCCGGAAUUACUGGGCGUAAAGGGUGCGUAGGUGGUUUCUUAAGUCAGAGGUGAAAGGCUACGGCUCAACCGUAGUAAGCCUUUGAAACUGGGGAACUUGAGUGCAGGAGAGGAGAGUGGAAUUCCUAGUGUAGCGGUGAAAUGCGUAGAUAUUAGGAGGAACACCAGUUGCGAAGGCGGCUCUCUGGACUGUAACUGACACUGAGGCACGAAAGCGUGGGGAGCAAACAGGAUUAGAUACCCUGGUAGUCCACGCCGUAAACGAUGAGUACUAGCUGUCGGAGGUUACCCCCUUCGGUGGCGCAGCUAACGCAUUAAGUACUCCGCCUGGGAAGUACGCUCGCAAGAGUGAAACUCAAAGGAAUUGACGGGGACCCGCACAAGUAGCGGAGCAUGUGGUUUAAUUCGAAGCAACGCGAAGAACCUUACCUAAGCUUGACAUCCUUUUGACCAAUGCCUAAUCGCAUUUUUCCCUUCGGGGACAGAAGUGACAGGUGGUGCAUGGUUGUCGUCAGCUCGUGUCGUGAGAUGUUGGGUUAAGUCCCGCAACGAGCGCAACCCUUGCCUUUAGUUGCCAGCAUUAAGUUGGGCACUCUAGAGGGACUGCCAGGGAUAACCUGGAGGAAGGUGGGGAUGACGUCAAAUCAUCAUGCCCCUUAUGCUUAGGGCUACACACGUGCUACAAUGGGUGGUACAGAGGGCAGCCAAGUCGUGAGGCGGAGCUAAUCCCUUAAAGCCAUUCUCAGUUCGGAUUGUAGGCUGAAACUCGCCUACAUAAAGCUGGAGUUACUAGUAAUCGCAGAUCAGAAUGCUGCGGUGAAUGCGUUCCCGGGUCUUGUACACACCGCCCGUCACACCACGGAAGUUGGGGGCGCCCGAAGCCACUUAUCUAACCCUUUUGGGAAGCGAGUGUCGAAGGUGAAAUCAAUAACUGGGGUGAAGUCGUAACAAGGUAGCCGUAUCGGAAGGUGCGGCUGGAUCACCU